ensembl:lncRNA novel transcript, antisense to POLA2
AUGUUGGCCAGGCUGGUCUCGAAUUCCCGACCUCAAGUGAUCUGCCCGCCUCGGCCUCCCGAAGUGCUGCAAUUACAGGCGUGAGCCACCGCGCCCGGCCCAGAAACAUGUUUUGAAGGGCAGGCACCGCACAGGGUGCUGGAGACAGACUGAAGGAAACUGCACCUCUCAGUGACUCAAGAGAGAUUUGUUGAGUAUCUACCAAGUGCCUAGCGCUGUUCUUGUCCCUGGGGAUUCAGCCUCUGGAUUGGGACCUGCAGCCCAGAGAAGGGAAAUGGGGGAAAUCCAAGUUCCCAGGUACAUCAUGAUACCCUUCCAGCCUCUCCUUCCUGGAAAUUGCCAUCACCAGCGGCCAUAGCACCCCCAUGGGACCUGGGGGAUGGAGUUGGAAGCCCCCUCCGGCAACACUGGCCAGAUUGGAGAGACCAGCAGGGAAGCUCCCUCCUACCCCCAGGGAGGCUGAAGCCAGCUCUCCAUGGGCACGAAACCUGGAACCCAGGACCCUGGGGGGCAGGGCUAUGCUGGACUAGAGAAGACACAGGUGGCCAAAGCUGGACCCAGCCCUCAGGGAACAGAUAACCUGCGUGAGAAACAAAUAAUUGAUUCUGCCCUUUAUCCCUCCCGGGCCAGCACGGAGGGGUUCAGCCAAUGACUGGGAAUUGAAUGAAAAACCAAAGAGAACAGCCAUGAGAUCUGUCUGCUAUGGGUGGGAAAGCAGAUGGGAGAGUGAGAAGGGCUUCAAGGAGAAGGUGAUAUGUGAACAGGGCAUAAAUGGAUGAAUAGGAGUUUGCCAGGCACAGAAAGGGAAGGACAUUCCAGGGGAAGCAGGCAGAGGCCUGGCAAGGCAAAGGCCAGGAGGAUUGCAAGUAAAGUCAUGGUAUGAGCAGAAAACAAGAGAGGUCCAGUUGCCCAUGGCAUAGGAGAGGGGACAGGCCAAG